rnacentral:rRNA from 1 species
AUUGAACGCUGGCGGCAGGCUUAACACAUGCAAGUCGAACGAGUGGCGGACGGGUGAGUAAUGCUUGGGAAUCUAGCUUAUGGAGGGGGAUAACUACUGGAAACUGUAGCUAAUACCGCAUACCAUCGGAUGAGCCCAUGUGGGAUUAGGUAGUUGGUGAGGUAAAGGCUCACCAAGGCGACGAUCUCUAGCUGGUCUGAGAGGAUGACCAGCCACACUGGGACUGAGACACGGCCCAGACUCCUACGGGAGGCAGCAGUGGGGAAUAUUGCGCAAUGGGGGCAAGCUGAUGCAGCCAUGCCGCGUGAAUGAAGAAGGCCUUAGGGUUGUAAAGUACUUUCGGUAGCGAGGCGUUAACUACAGAAGAAGCACCGGCUAACUCCGUGCCAGCCGCCGCGGUAAUAC